rnacentral:rRNA from 1 species
GACGAACGCUGGCGGCGUGCUUAACACAUGCAAGUCGAACGGCAAGGCCCUGCUUUUGUGCGGUGCUCGAGUGGCGAACGGGUGAGUAACACGUGAGUAACCUGCCCUUGACUUUGGGAUAACUUCAGGAAACUGGGGCUAAUACCGGAUAGCAGCUCCUGCUGCAUGGUGGGGGUUGGAAAGUUUCGGCGGUUGGGGAUGGACUCGCGGCUUAUGAGCUUGUUGGUGGGGUAGUGGCUUACCAAGGCUUUGACGGGUAGCCGGCCUGAGAGGGUGACCGGCCACAUUGGGACUGAGAGACGGACCAGACUGCAAUGGUAGGCAGCAGUGGCGAGUAUUGUACAGUGGGAGGAAGCCUGAUGCAGCAACGCUGCGUGCGGGAUGACGGUCUUCGGGUUGUAAACCGCUUCCGCCUGUGACGAAGCGUGAGUGACGGUAAUGGGUAAAGAAGCACCGGCUAACUACGUG